ACGUGCACAUAAUGCGCAAGGCACCCAAUUUGGGUCCCACUCACUUCUGAAACGGAUAAAGCAAAUACCAUUUCUUCCUUUUCUUAUCGAAACACCAUAUUCGCCACGUGUCACUCGAUCGUUGGUUCCGAAACAGGCUCGGCAACGAGCCACGUCGCACUCGCGGGGUUUUCGUUCAACAACCCCACACACCCCACUUCACGCCACUCUUAUUAUUUUCUUCUUUCACUCACUUUCAUGCUUUCGCUUACAACUAGAGCCAUUCGGUGAUCGCUUCGCUUCGAUUUUCCUUCGUCUUCUCCUUCAUCUUCUUCACCGAUCAUGA